UUGAUUAUUUGAGAUUUUGUAAGGAAUUGUUGUUCUCAAUUUAAAAUAAAUACCGAAAUAAACUUUUUAAUUUUGGUGACAGAUUAACAACAAUUUUACUGCUGCCGGCAAACUGCAGGUAAGCAACAACAUUGUCUGUCUUAUUCUUCUGAUAAAGAAAUUCCAAUACAGAAAUUCAUUAUGAUAGAUGAUUUAGCCUUUUCCUUUUUACCAAACAAACAUACACACAUUAAUAUUUCUUUUAUCGUUAUUCUUUGUAUUUAGUUUCCUUUAAACCACAAACUUGUUUCUUAGUUUGCCCGGUUCUUUUGCAUUUAAUAUUGUUGUUGCUUCGAUGGAUGGAUGGAUGUAUGGUUUGGUUUGGUUGGAUGGUUAGUUUGUUUGCUGGCUGACUGACGGGCUGUUUGACUGACUGUUCGUUGUUGUUUAUCAUUAUCUGUGUGGUGGUAUUUAUAUUUUAGCCAUGCCAUCAUUGUCAUCAUUGUUGUAAACUAAAAAUGAAUAAUAAUGAAAAACCAUAUACAAAAGUGGAAGUAACGAACGAACAAUUUACCUAAAACUCUUAAAACACACACAGCAAGUCACUCACAACUAACUGAUGGCUGAUCCUUAAAUAUAAUGUGAAUUAUUCUAAACACACAACUCCAAGGGCUCAAAGUAUAUGAACACAACAUUACGUAAAGUUUUAGUUGAUUUGCGUUACGUUACUACAAUACUUAUCGCCACUUAUCAAUUUCAUACAUUCUUGCAAAAAUAACCAGCCAGAAAAUAACAAAUGGACAUAACACAAAGUUAGAGUAUUUAAUUUCAAAAACAAUAUCAUAUUUAACCACAACGCCAAAGUUUUUGCUGAGCUGUGAGUAUUUAUUUUAGCCUUUGGCUUAUAAAAUCUUCUUUAAUGCGAAAGAAAACGAAGAGGACACAAUUUUUGUUGUGUUGUGAAUCUGUUUCUAUAGCACCUAUGCAUGUGGUGGCUGCUGGCAUCAGUGUAUAUGUAUAUGUAUGUACAUUUGGUUGUCAUGUCUGUUGGUGUAUAAAAUGUAUGAAGAAUUUUAAGAGUAUGCGCAAGCUCCUUUGACGAACAUUUAUACUCCAAUGUUUCUUAAGAUGGUUCAAUGGAUGGAUGGCUGGAUGGUUGGUUGGUUGGUUGGUUGACUGUAUGCAUGAGAAUUCAUGUACUGUACUACUUACAUGCCACAUACAUGCAUUUGUCUAUAUUUCUAUAUGUAUGUUGGAAAUCGUACAGAUGGAAUAUGUACAGAACUACAAAAAAAAUAUAUAUACAAUUUCUGUUUUUCCUUAUUGUUUGCAA